AAAAUCGAUUCCAUCUUGCGGGGAAUCGAACUCUGCACACUACCGCGUUGAGCCCUAUCCGCCCUCUCUUUUGUCAUUGGGAGAUAUGCCCUGGGGCAACCCAAAACUAAUACCAGCUAAUGCUGUAUAUAUAUGCACCGUAUAAACACCCACGAAUUCUCUCACUCCUGUUAUUGCAUUUUGACAGACACAACAAGAUCACAUUUUUUUUAAUCACUAUCUCCUGCCGCUAUAUUUUUUCUUAUUGCUUUUAUCUCGAGAUUUAUAUAAAGCUGUAAAGAGUGAUCAAAUGCUACAGUUUCUGCUCAUUCGAGUAUCUUUCUCAGGUUCUGUUGAUUCUACUACUCCAUCUCAUUUUCUCUCGUAUUUAUAUGUUUCUCUUUGAAAUUCUUGUUUUCAAUACUUAUUUUAAGAACUGGGUAUUACUUUACUUAACGUAUUCUGGUUUUCGGGGUGGGAAAUUUUGUUUGUUUCGCUUUAUUUUGUAUGCAUAUAUGUGAAAAAUAGGUGGCCCGACGAAUUUCUUGAUUAGAGUCGUAAAGAUUUUAGCUUGUGUAGUAGUAAUUUUAUAAGU
rnacentral:lncRNA from 1 species